rnacentral:misc_RNA from 1 species
GAUGAAGAACGUAGCGAAAUGCGAAAAGUAGUGUGAAUUGCAGAAUUCAGUGAAUCAUCGAAUCUUUGAACGCACAUUGCGCCCCUUGGUAUUCCAUGGGGCAUGCCUGUUCGAGCGUCAUUUGUACCUUCAAGCUUUGCUUGGUGUUGGGUGUUUGUCCUGAGGGACUCGCCUUAAAGUAAUUGGCAGCCAGUGUUUUGGUUUUGAAGCGCAGCACAAGUCGCGAUUCAAAGCUAUACGCCAGCUUCCACAAGCCUUUUUCACUUUUGACCUCGGAUCAGGUAGGGAUACCCGCUGAACUUAAGCAUAUCAAUAAGCGGAGGA